rnacentral:tRNA from 1 species
GGGAAUGUAGCUCAACUGGUAGAGCACCGCGCUUCGGCGCGGAGACGCAGGUUCAACUCCGGCCGUUUCCA